UACUAGAGUAGCACUCGCAUAUCAAUAAGCGGAGGAAAAGAAACUAACAAGGAUUCCCCUAGUAACGGCGAGUGAAGCGGGAAGAGCUCAAAUUUGAAAUCUUCAAGGUUUUCCCUUGACGAAUUGUAGUUUAAAGAAGUGUUUUCUGUUGGAGUUUUCGGUAAAAGUUCUUUGGAAUAGGACAUCAUAGAGGGUGAGAAUCCCGUAUUUGACCAUUACUUUCCAGCUGUGUGAUACACUUUCAAAGAGUCGGAUUGUUUGGGAAUGCAGUCCAAAAUGGGUGGUAAAUUUCAUCUAAAGCUAAAUAUUGGCGAGAGACCGAUAGCGAACGAGUACCGUGAGGGAAAGAUGAAAAGAACUUUGAAAAGAGAGUUAAACAGUACGUGAAAUUGUCAAAAGGGAAGCGUUUGACACCAGUGUUGUUUUCUCGAAAAUCAAUUAAAAAUGGUGGGAUUUUGUGUUGUAUUGACUUUAUCAGCUUUCUGCACUUUUUUCCUAUCUUUUUUAAUGCACUUUUCGUUUAACAAGUCAACAUCAAUUUCUUUUGCUGUAAAAGAGUCAUUGGAAGGUGGCUUUCUUUUCGGAGAAAGUGUUUAUAGCCUUUGACUUCUGCAGUCGGAGAGAUUGAGGUCUGCAGCGUAGAUCCUUCGGGGUUAGAUACAUUUGUGCUAAGCUAUAGCCUUUCAUAGACAACUUGUUGACUAUGAUCAGUCAUGUAGCUUACCCGCUUAUGCUAUUUUACCUACGCUUAGGAUGUUGAAGAUAUGCGCGACACG
rnacentral:rRNA from 1 species